rfam:Trichobilharzia regenti genome assembly, scaffold: TRE_scaffold0003530
GUACCGCUGAAGAGUCCCAAACUAGGAUGGGGGAAACAGCUGUCCAGUAC